GUACUUACCUGGCAGGGAGGCUCCCAUGAUCAGGAAGGCGAGGCUUAUCCAUUGUACUCUGGAUGUUCUGACCCCUGUAGUUUCCCCAAAUGUGGAAAACCGGACUGCCUAAUUUAUGGUUUAAAAGAUUUAAAAAAUAAUUUAAU
rnacentral:snRNA from 1 species